rnacentral:rRNA from 1 species
AAUCGAAACCGCAUGGUUUUGAUUUGAAAGGCGCUUUCGGGUGUCGCUGAUGGAUGGACCCGCGGUGCAUUAGCUAGUUGGUGAGGUAACGGCUCACCAAGGCCACGAUGCAUAGCCGACCUGAGAGGGUGAUCGGCCACAUUGGGACUGAGACACGGCCCAAACUCCUACGGGAGGCAGCAGUAGGGAAUCUUCGGCAAUGGACGAAAGUCUGACCGAGCAACGCCGCGUGAGUGAAGAAGGUUUUCGGAUCGUAAAACUCUGUUGUUAGAGAAGAACAAGGAUGAGAGUAACUGUUCAUCCCUUGACGGUAUCUAACCAGAAAGCCACGGCUAACUACGUGCCAGCAGCCGCGGUAAUACGUAGGUGGCAAGCGUUGUCCGGAUUUAUUGGGCGUAAAGCGAGCGCAGGCGGUUUCUUAAGUCUGAUGUGAAAGCCCCCGGCUCAACCGGGGAGGGUCAUUGGAAACUGGGAGACUUGAGUGCAGAAGAGGAGAGUGGAAUUCCAUGUGUAGCGGUGAAAUGCGUAGAUAUAUGGAGGAACACCAGUGGCGAAGGCGGCUCUCUGGUCUGUAACUGACGCUGAGGCUCGAAAGCGUGGGGAGCAAACAGGAUUAGAUACCCUGGUAGUCCACGCCGUAAACGAUGUCGAUUUGGAGGUUGUGCCCUUGAGGCGUGGCUUCCGGAGCUAACGCGUUAAAUCGACCGCCUGGGGAGUACGGCCGCAAGGUUAAAACUCAAAUGAAUUGACGGGGGCCCGCACAAGCGGUGGAGCAUGUGGUUUAAUUCGAUGCAACGCGAAGAACCUUACCUGGUCUUGACAUCCACAGAACUUUCCAGAGAUGGAUUGGUGCCUUCGGGAACUGUGAGACAGGUGCUGCAUGGCUGUCGUCAGCUCGUGUUGUGAAAUGUUGGGUUAAGUCC